AUUGAACGCUGGCGGCAGGCCUAACACAUGCAAGUCGAGCGAGCGGCGGACGGGUGAGUAAUGUCUGGGAAACUGCCCGAUGGAGGGGGAUACCUACUGGAAACGGUAGCUAAUACCGCAUACCAUCAGAUGUGCCCAUAUGGGAUUAGCUAGGAGGUGGGGUAAUGGCUCACCUAGGCGACGAUCCCUAGCUGGUCUGAGAGGAUGACCAGCCACACUGGGACUGAGACACGGUCCAGACUCCUACGGGAGGCAGCAGUGGGGAAUAUUGCACAAGGGGCGCAAGCCUGAUGCAGCCAUGCCGCGUGUGUGAAGAAGGCCUUAGGGUUGUAAAGCACUUUCAGCGGGGAGGCGUUACCGGCAGAAGAAGCACCGGCUAACUCCGUGCCAGCAGCCGCGGUAAUAC
rnacentral:rRNA from 1 species